UGUGGUUUAAUUCGACGCAACGCGAAGAACCUUACCAAGGCUUGACAUCCCGAUGACCGGUGCAGAGAUGCGCCUUUCUUCGGAACAUCGGUGACAGGUGGUGCAUGGUUGUCGUCAGCUCGUGUCGUGAGAUGUUGGGUUAAGUCCCGCAACGAGCGCAACCCUUAUCUUCAGUAGCCAGCAGGCAAAGCUGGGCACUCUGGAGAGACUGCCGUGGAUAACACGGAGGAAGGUGGGGAUGACGUCAAAUCAUCAUGCCCCUUAUGUCUUGGGCUACACACGUGCUACAAUGGCUGGCACAGCGGGAAGCGGAGGGGCGACCCUGAGCGGAUCCCUUGAAAGCCGGUCCCAGUUCGGAUUGCAGUCUGCAACUCGACUGCAUGAAGUUGGAAUCGCUAGUAAUCGCGGAUCAGCCAAGCCGCGGUGAAUACGUUCCCGGGCCUU
rnacentral:rRNA from 1 species